rnacentral:rRNA from 1 species
UACGUAGGGUGCGAGCGUUGUCCGGAAUUAUUGGGCGUAAAGAGCUCGUAGGCGGUCUGUCGCGUCUGCUGUGAAAUCCCGAGGCUCAACCUCGGGCUUGCAGUGGGUACGGGCAGGCUAGAGUGCGGUAGGGGAGAAUGGAACUCCUGGUGUAGCGGUGGAAUGCGCAGAUAUCAGGAAGAACACCGAUGGCGAAGGCAGUUCUCUGGGCCGUAACUGACGCUGAGGAGCGAAAGCGUGGGGAGCGAACAGG